AGUGAACGCUGGCGGUAGGCCUAACACAUGCAAGUCGAACGGCAGCACAGUAAGAGCUUGCUCUUACGGGUGGCGAGUGGCGGACGGGUGAGGAAUACAUCGGAAUCUACUUUUUCGUGGGGGAUAACGUAGGGAAACUUACGCUAAUACCGCAUACGACCUACGGGUGAAAGCAGGGGAUCUUCGGACCUUGCGCGAUUGAAUGAGCCGAUGUCGGAUUAGUUAGUUGGCGGGGUAAAGGCCCACCAAGGCGACGAUCCGUAGCUGGUCUGAGAGGAUGAUCAGCCACACUGGAACUGAGACACGGUCCAGACUCCUACGGGAGGCAGCAGUGGGGAAUAUUGGACAAAGGGCGCAAGCCUGAUCCAGCCAUACCGCGUGGGUGAAGAAGGCCUUCGGGUUGUAAAGCCCUUUUGUUGGGAAAGAAAAGCAGCAGGUUAAUACCCCGCUGUUCUGACGGUACCCAAAGAAUAAGCACCGGCUAACUUCGUG
rnacentral:rRNA from 1 species